rnacentral:rRNA from 1 species
UACAGAGGUCUCAAGCGUUGUUCGGAUUCAUUGGGCGUAAAGGGUGCGUAGGCGGCGCGGUAAGUCGGGUGUGAAAUCUCGGAGCUUAACUCCGAAACUGCAUUCGAUACUGCCGUGCUUGAGGACUGGAGAGGAGACUGGAAUUUACGGUGUAGCGGUGAAAUGCGCAGAUAUCAGGAGGAACACCAAUAGCGAAGGCAGCUCGCUGGGACGGUAUUGACGCUGAGGCGCGAAAGCGUGGGGAGCAAACAGG